rnacentral:rRNA from 1 species
UCUGCCCAAUGAUUUUAAAUAAUUAAAUGGCUGCGGUAUAAUUGACUGUACAAAGGUAGCAUAAUCAAUUGUUUUUUAAUUAAAAACUGGAAUGAAAGAGUUAAUGAGAUAUACACUGUCUCAUAUAUAUUAAAUUAAUUUAAAUUUUUAGUUAAAAUGCUAAAAUUAAUUUAUGGGACGAUAAGACCCUAUAGAAUUUUAUAUUAAUAUUUUAAUUAUAAUUUUAUUAUUGAAUAUUAAUAUUUUGUUGGGAGGAUAGGUAAAUUUAUUAAACUUUAUUUUAAAUAUUAACUUUAAUUAAAGAAUAUAUUUUGAUCUUUUAGUAAAAAUGAAAAGAGUAAAUUACCUUAGGGAUAACAGCGUAAUAUCUUUUUAAAGAUCUUAUUGAAAAAGAUGAUUGCGACCUCGAUGUUGAAUUAAGAUAAAUUUUAAAUGAAGAAAUUUAAUAAUUAAGUCUGUUCGAC